rnacentral:sRNA from 1 species
ACUGGGCAUGGUGGCACACACCUGUAAUCCCAGCAACUCAGGAUGCUGAGGCAGGAGGAUUGCAAGUUUGAGGCCAGCCUCAGCAACAUGGUGAGACCCUGUCUCAA